UUUUAAUUUUUUGAUACAUAUAUAUUUAUUUUGGUAGUGUUGCCUUCCCUAGGCCAGGGCUCUACCACUGACCUAAGUCCCCAAUCUCAAGAUGUCCCAUCUAGGGCUGAGCACUUAGAGUCACUUCACUUAGUCUCAACCCUUCGGCUCACGUUUGUCUUUUCUUCUUUGCAUAUGCCAGGGUGGAUAUGGGUACUUUAGCCAUAGCUUGGCCUCACAAUCACUCUCAAUCCUUCAUCUUCCUCCAUGUUCAUCCCGGGGAGAAACCUUUAGAAGGAGAGAGGCUGGAGACACCUGCUGGCUCACAGCUGGCCCGCUCUGGUCAGUGCUUCUAAUAAAUUUAUCCUUUCUCUCUUCAAUCUUAAUCUUCAUUUCUUUCAGAAGCCUAUUUUAAAAUUUUAAGGUUUUAUCCUAUAUACACCUAAAGUCCCCAGGCUUGAAGAUGAGUGUUAGACUUGUGAAUAUAUUCUAUAGUACAUACAAUUUUCUUACAUGUACUUAAAAAAAAAAAAGCAACAACAACAUUGGUCAGGUAAAAUAACGUCACAAUUUAUUUGCAUUUUUAAUUACAUGUAUUACUACUUUUUUUGUCUUCUGUUGAAGUGACUUGAGGACAUUUUCUUAUCUAAGAGAAACGGUAGGUGGAAGAGUCUUCCAGGGCCAGGAGAAGACCUUGUGUCUCAGAAGGAACUUGUUGAGAAAGUGGGUGAUCGAGCAAAGAGGCAUUCUAAUUACCAUCCCUGAGGCAGGAGGCUGUUGGGGUGUGGGGGGGAGAGGGCUCAUCCUGAAGCUGUGCCCACACCACCAUCCAAGGAGUACCAUUGCCGGAGAAAUGGCUGUGGAGACCCCCUUCUGCUUUGUCUCUUAUUUGAACCUUAUAUGUGGCCUUUUGUUACUAGAAAAACAUUUUAUCAUCCUUCUAUUCAGAUAAGUAACCAGGAGCUUAGAACAGGAAUUAUUGUAGUCAGUGUUUGGCAGAACCCUGCUGUGAUAGGUGUUGAAGCCACAGCUCUAACCUCCCCCUGAAUCUUUGUAUGUUCCUGUGUGUGCACCUGUGUGAAUGUGCAGAUAGAAGCCAGAACUCAGCUGUGGCUACUCACGCUCUAGCCACCUUGUGUUUUUUGUUUUUGUUUUAUGAGACUGUGUCUCUCAAUAGCCAGGAGUUCCCCAAAUAGGCUCAUCUGGUUGGCCAGUGGGCACUGGGGAUCUUCCUGUCACCACCCACCCAGUGUGAGCAUUACAAGCUUCUUGUCACCACAGUUAGCUUUAUUCAUGUGGGUUCUGGGAAUCGAACUCAGCUCCUCAUGCUUUCAAGGCAAACACUUUACUCACUGAGCCAUUCUUGCAGCCCUUCCCUAAGUCUUUAACAACAAUAACAUAAAAAACCCUACUAAUUUUGAAUUUCAAGGAAAUUAUGGAUACAGAGGCAAGAACAAUAUCAGGACUGUUGAGGUGGCGUUAGGCAUUUCAAAGACAGGCUUGCUGAGAGUCUGCCGCUGACUCAAUGUUCCACAAAUAACAGUUGGCCUAUGAGUCAUGAUACUGAAAGCCUCCUGGCACAAUGCCUGAGGCCAGAAUUGUGGCAUUUUGGGUAAUGUUUGCCCCAAUGUGGGCUGAGGGCAGCUAGAGGCCUGGAAAGGUCUUCUGGUGCUGUGAUGACCUCAGGUGUUGGGAGGCCCAAAGAUAUCAGUCAUUGACUCUCCCCAUUCUUCACUGACACCUCUUUUCAGCCUGUUUUCUUGGUCGUGACUCAUAGUGAUGAAAAAUUCUCAUAAGAAUAAUUUUCCAUUUGGGUUCCAAUUAUGUACUGACAUGAGGCUCAUUAAACAAUGCAUUCAUUAGAGAAAACCAAAAUCUGAUCGUCAUGGGUUACUGCACCUAUUUCACAUACUGCCAAGGGAAGCCUUAAGCUGAUUCAAAGGGUGCAAAAUAUUCUUGUCAUUUUGGUUGUCAUCACUAAUGAUACAUAAUAAGAAUCUGGAACAAGUGCCAGGAGGUGGCCAUGAUCUGAGACAGGAUGGUUGGAGCAGAUCUUCCAUUCUAGAGAAAUGCUGUCAUAUCCUAGCAGUGAUUGCCUUCAUUCUGGAUCUGGUCUCCAGUGAGGUUUUUGUUUUGGAACUUUUUUUUUUUUUCUGAUAGAAGCAUUUUGUGGAACAAUGACGAUAAAGUCUUUCAUUUUGGUGGAAAGCUGGUGACUGAGUUGAGGGAUCCUAGCCACUACCCCUGCCAGCUUAAUAUUUAUACUGAUAAACUGGCAAGGAAAGUCAGUAGCAGCCUGUUUUUGCCAUUCUCCUAUACUGAAUUACAAUCCGUUUUACUCUUACCAAGUUGCGAAUGCUAUCUUAUUUUAUAGAGUGCCUUGUGUGUGUAGUACAGUUUUCGGGUAAAUUGAAAUCUCUUUUUCAAUACAGCCUCACUCUUGUGUGUAUGUGUCUGCAAGUGCAUGCACACACAGACACCUCUGAAUUAAUAUUAAAGGGAGGUAGUCGCUCUGCAUGUCAUUUGUCCUGCAUAGAGACCUGACCACUACAGGGAGAUGCAGACUAUCCUGACCCCACUGCUUUGUGUUAUUUGAUUUCUUAAAUUAAUUUUAUAUUUGUAAUCUCAGAUUUUGUUGACCUUGCAGAACCCUUUAAAAGAGCAGUCAGAGAGCCGACUCCAGUGUGUAGACAGGCCAAUGGAGAAUAAGAAAUAAUAACUUAGUCUGAUAAGUCAAAUUUUAGAUUCAUAUUUUAAAGGUCAGAAGUGCAAAUUCCAUUAAAUUUGGACUUAUGGUCGAAUUUAUUUUAAGUCUUUCCCCCCUCUUUAGUUCAGAGAUAUCUAAGAUUAUUUAUGAUUCAGAAAAUUUUGCACACUGGAGGGGUAAAAACACUGAGAUGUAAAAUCAAAUAUAAUAGUCCUCCACAAAACAAGCUGUGUCUAGAGGUGAGCAAACACAUUUGUGAUUGAAAAGUACUCAUUUGGGAAAAAAACCCCAACAACAAUAUUGGAAACAGUGUUUCUGAGAACCUCUUGAUGUGACAAAGUGGUUCGGUUUUUUCUUUAGCUCUAGGAUCUGGGAGUUAAUUGGUGUAGAGAAUGAAGUAGGGAGAGCAGACGACAUGGAGGACAGCAUUUACUUCUUCCAUUGGCUGUGACUUCUGUGUCUCCACUUUCCUGGCUCCCCUCAUCUGUGGACGAGGGGAAAUUUAGGAGAUGUGUAGAAAGAAGACAACAAGAGAAGAGAAGAGACCCAUUGGUUGAGGAGAGGUGCCCAGAGCAAAGACAAGGAAGGUUUAGGCAUUGACAGACAUUUGCUUCACAGCAUUGCUCCUGAGUUCUUCCUGCCGAUUUCUGUAAGAUGGAGUUGUCAAACAUUUGAGUACAUCCACUGAUGCCUGGGAGACCAAGAGUACACGGGGACAUCCUUCUUCCUCCCACAGAUCUACUUCUGAUGGAAAAUUCACUUAAGCAGCAUAAUCAAGACCAACUAAGAAAGGUUAGCCACGGUCAAAGGAAAUUGAUGAAGAGCGGCUAUUAAGGGAUGGACAUAUGUACGCAGACUAUGGUUAAAUAACGGUAAGUAGGACGUGUUUAUUAAAAUGAUGCAGGGAUUUUAUACCUUCAUUCUUGAUGUCUCUUAGUACCUGACAUUAUACUGCUACGGUUUCCAUGGAGACAGCACACACUCUUCCUUUCAGCUGACCUGAAGUUCAAGCCCUGCUGUUGCAAUAGAAAUUCUAAAAAACCACUUCCACCUUUAUUAAAAACAAAAAUACAAAAUCUAUGCAAAAAGGAAAAGGAAAAAAAAAGAGGAUGAGAAAAUCCAUUGACUAUAUUACAGAAGAGGAGAGAGAAUGUGUGCUGUUUUCAUUAAGACAGAAUCAAGAAACAACUUACUAUGCUGGAGGUUGAGAGUGUCUGUCAUUUCUUUCCCUAAAUUACCUUAGAAUUGAUGCCCCUGAGCCUGCUUUAACAUCUGCACCUUUCAUUUCUAAUUCAAUACACUCUACUAUUUUUAGUUUUCUGGAAAUCUCUCUCUCUCUCUCUCUCUCUCUCUCUCUCUCUCUCUCUCUCUCUCGAUUUAAGAACUUGCUUCUGUAUGGCUCACACACACAAAUGUUGACUUGGUGUAUGAGUUGACUUUAAUAAAGGCAGGUUUACUUUGGGGAAGGAUCGCCAAGAUAAGAUAUUUCACAGGAAUAAGGGAUCAGAAGCUGGAUCUCCCAUUCACAGUUCUCCUUUGUUUGGCUUCUUAUUAUUUAAGAAGGUUAAGGAAACGUGACUUCUGACGGUCUAUUCAUUGGCUUGCAUAGCCAAAUGGUCUAAGCAUGGCUUGGUUUCCCUAUGGGAUUGUUCCUCUAGGAUUUUCUACACUCUGACACCCAUGUUUAUACAAUCCCCAGGUCAUUUUCUGUAAAAUGUCUGAAGCAGUUAUUCAGACCUCAUUAACCCAACAUACAAAAGCAAGAACAUGCGAGUGAUCUUUUCUAGAAGUCUCUACUUAAUGGCAUUUUGUGCUUCAGUGUUCUGGUUGGGACAGCGUUAUACACCGGUAAGACAUAGGUCUACAGGGCUGUGGAGAUGGUAGGUGAUAAAUUGUUUGCUAUGAACACCAGAGCUUAUAUCUCCAGAACCCUGUAAAUGUUAGGCGUGUGUGGUGGUCUGCCCAUAAUUCCACUGUGAACAUUAGAGGAAGAGACAAGAGAUUCUUAGAGCUAGCCAAAUUGAUGAGCCCUGGGUUCAAGGAGACAGUCUGCAACAACAUAUAAUGUGUUGAUGGUGAUUGAAGAAGACAAGUCCAUGUUAACUCUUGGCGCCCCCCAUAUCUACACACAGACACACAGACACACACAGACACAGACACACAUACAUACACACACACACACACACACACACACACACACACAGAUACACGCACAUAGAUACACACACCACAAGACAAACAUGUGAACAAAGCCUUCAAGGAGGAUUAUGUCAGUUAGCAUUAAACUUAAGAUAUUGUCUUAGUCAGUGUUCUAUUGCUGUGAAGAACACCAUGACCAUGGCAACUCUUAAAGAAGAAAAUAUUUAAUUGGAGCUGGCUUAUACCUUGACAGGGUUAGUCCAUUCUCAUCGUGGCAGGGAGCAUGGUGGCACACAGACAGACAUGGUGCUGGAGGAAUAGCUGAGGACUCUAUGUCUG